UCUGGGAUUAGAUACCCUGUUAUUUAAAAUGUAAAUUAAAAAUCUAAGGUAGUAAUUGUUAUGUUCUUGAAACUUAAAAAAUUUGGCGGUAUUUUAGUCUAUUCAGAGGAAUCUGUUCUAUAAUCGAUAUUCCACGUUGGAUCUUACUUAAGUUUGUAAUCAGUUUAUAUACCGUCGUUAUUAGAAUAUUUUAUAAGAAUGUUAAUUUUCAAGAUUUUUUAAAAGAAAAUAUAUCAGAUCAAGGUGUAGCUAAUAUUUAAGUAGAAAUGGAUUACAAUAAGAUUAUUUAAAUGGAUAUAAAUUUGAAAUAUUUAUUGAAAGUGGAUUUGAUAGUAAAAUUAUAAAGAUUAAUAAUUUGAUUUUAGCUCUAAAAUAUGUACAAAUCGCCCGUCACUCUCUGA
rnacentral:rRNA from 1 species